GCACUGCUGAGGAGUCCUACGCUAGGACGAAACAGCCGUCCAGUGU
rnacentral:hammerhead_ribozyme from 1 species